AAACCUAGUCUCAGUUCGGAUCGGAGUCUGCAACCCGACUCCGUGAAGCUGGAUUCGCUAGUAAUCGCGCAUCAGCCAUGGCGCGGUGAAUACGUUCCCGGGUCUUGUACACACCGCCCGUCACACCAUGGGAGUUGGAAAUGCCCGAAGCCAGUGACCCAACCGUAAGGAGGGAGCUGUCGAAGGUGGAGCCGAUGACUGGGGUGAAGUCGUAACAAGGUAUC
rnacentral:rRNA from 1 species